rnacentral:rRNA from 1 species
GGGAUAGAAUUCCAGGAGUAGCGGUGAAAUGCGUAGAUAUCUGGAGGAAUACCAAAGGCGAAGGCAGUCCCCUGGUCCGAUACUGACACUGAGGUACGAAAGCGUGGGGAGCAAACAGGAUUAGAUACCCUGGUAGUCCACGCCCUAAACGAUGUCGAUUAGCCAUUGGAAGGACCCCUUUUCCUUUCAGUGACGUAGCUAACGCGUUAAAUCGACCGCCUGGGAAGUACGACCGCAAGGUUAAAACUCAAAGGAAUUGACGGGGACCUGAACAAGCGGUGAAUGAUGUGGAUUAAUUCGAUGCUACGCGAAGAACCUUACCUACCUUUGACAUGGCCAAAGUUCUACCGAGAGGCGGAAGUACUCGUAAGAGGAUUGGCGCACAGGUGCUGCAUGGUUGUCGUCAGUUCGUGUCGUGAGAUGUUGGGUUCAGUCCCGCAACGAACGCAACCCUUAUCUUUAAUUGCUCCUAUUUUAACAGGCACUUUAAAGAAACUGCCAAUGAUAAGUUGGAGGAAGGUGGGGAUCACGUCAAGUCCGCAUGGCCUUUAUAGGUAGGGCUUCACACGUCAUACAAUGGUUAGAGCAAAGAGCUGCAAAUUCGUAAGAAGGAGCCAAUCUCACAAACCUAACCUCAGUUCGAAUUGCGGUCUGCAACUCGAGCGCAUGAAGCCGGAAUCGCUAGUAAUCGUGGAUCAGAAUGCCACGGUGAAUACGCUCUUAGGUCUU